UGCUAUGUCAUCAUGGAACUCUGUUAGGAAAUCCCACCAGGAGAUACGCUGCCCUGAACCUGGUCUUCUAUGUGGCUGGCCCUGAAAAUGUGCUUCCUCCUAGCUGUGUGUGAACUUCUUAGACACAGAGGGAAGCCAGUUUAGGCCCACAGUUCUCAGAACUCAGGGACCCAUCACAUCUACAGACACCAAACCCUGAAACUAUUGCUGAUGCCAAGAAACUCUUCCUGACAAGGAUCUGCUCCUGUCUCCAGGUUCCUGUCCUGUUUGAGUUCCUGUCCAGACUUCCUUCCAUGAUGAACAGAGAUGUGGAAGCAUAAACCAAAUAAACCCUCUCCUCCC